rnacentral:rRNA from 1 species
UGCCAGACUCCUACGGGAGGCAGCAGUGGGGAAUAUUGGGCAAUGGGCGCAAGCCUGACCCAGCAACGCCGCGUGAAGGAAGAAGGCUUUCGGGUUGUAAACUUCUUUUCUCAGGGACGAAAAGAAUGACGGUACCUGAGGAAUAAGCCACGGCAAACUAUGUGCCAGCAGCCGCGGUAAUACAUAGGUGGCAAGCGUUGUCCGGAAUGACUGGGCGUAAAGGGAGCGUAGGCGGUCUGUUAAGUUGGAAGUGAAAUCCCGGGGCUCAACCCCGGAACUGCUUUCAAGACUGACGGACUUGAGUGUAAGAGGGGUAAGCGGAAUUCCUAGUGUAGCGGUGGAAUGCGUAGAUAUUAGGAGGAACACCAGUGGCGAAGGCGUCUUACUGGACCGAAACUGACGUUGAGGCUCGAAAGCGUGGGGAGCAAACAGGAUUAGAUACCCGCGUAGAC